rnacentral:rRNA from 1 species
UACGUAGGGUGCAAGCGUUAAUCGGAAUUACUGGGCGUAAAGCGUGCGCAGGCGGUUUUCCAAGACAGAUGUGAAAUCCCCGGGCUCAACCUGGGAAUGGCAUUUGUGACUGGAAGGCUAGAGUGUGUCAGAGGGGGUGGAACUGGCGAGUGUAGAGGUGAAAUUCGUAGAUAUUCGCAAGAACACCAGUGGCGAAGGCGGACUCACUGGCCCGGUACUGACGCUGAGGUGCGAAAGCGUGGGGAGCAACAGGAUAAGA